rnacentral:rRNA from 1 species
UACAGAGGUCCCGAGCGUUGUUCGGAUUCACUGGGCGUAAAGGGUGCGUAGGUGGCAUGUUAAGUUUGAUGUGAAAGCUCAGGGCUCAACCCUGAAAUGGCAUUGAAUACUAGCGUGCUGGAGGUUUGGAGGGGGGACUGGAAUUCUUGGUGUAGCAGUGAAAUGCGUAGAUAUCAAGAGGAACACCAGUGGCGAAGGCGAGUCCCUGAACAACACCUGACACUGAGGCACGAAAGCCGGGGGAGCAAACAGG